UACGUAGGGGGCUAGCGUUGCUCGGAAUCACUGGGCGUAAAGGGCGCGUAGGCGGCGUUUUAGGUCGGGUGUGAAAGCCUGUGGCUCAACCACAGAAUGGCCUUCGAUACUGGGACGCUUGAGUAUGGUAGAGGUUGGUGGAACUGCGAGUGUAGAGGUGAAAUUCGUAGAUAUUCGCAAGAACACCGGUGGCGAAGGCAGGUCUCUGGGCCAUUACUGACACUGAGGCACGAAAGCGUGGGGAGCAAACAGG
rnacentral:rRNA from 1 species